rnacentral:rRNA from 1 species
GCCCUGGAAACGGGGUCUAAUACCGGAUAACACUCUGUCCCGCAUGGGACGGGGUUAAAAGCUCCGGCGGUGAAGGAUGAGCCCGCGGCCUAUCAGCUUGUUGGUGGGGUAAUGGCCUACCAAGGCGACGACGGGUAGCCGGCCUGAGAGGGCGACCGGCCACACUGGGACUGAGACACGGCCCAGACUCCUACGGGAGGCAGCAGUGGGGAAUAUUGCACAAUGGGCGAAAGCCUGAUGCAGCGACGCCGCGUGAGGGAUGACGGCCUUCGGGUUGUAAACCUCUUUCAGCAGGGAAGAAGCGAAAGUGACGGUACCUGCAGAAGAAGCGCCGGCUAACUACGUGCCAGCAGCCGCGGUAAUACGUAGGGCGCAAGCGUUGUCCGGAAUUAUUGGGCGUAAAGAGCUCGUAGGCGGCUUGUCACGUCGGAUGUGAAAGCCCGGGGCUUAACCCCGGGUCUGCAUUCGAUACGGGCUAGCUAGAGUGUGGUAGGGGAGAUCGGAAUUCCUGGUGUAGCGGUGAAAUGCGCAGAUAUCAGGAGGAACACCGGUGGCGAAGGCGGAUCUCUGGGCCAUUACUGACGCUGAGGAGCGAAAGCGUGGGGAGCGAACAGGAUUAGAUACCCUGGUA